rnacentral:rRNA from 1 species
AUGUACAUGCCUACAACAUAACGUUAAUGCACCAGAUCCCAUUAGAACUCCGCAGUUUAGUGCGCUCGGGCUAGAGUAGUACUGGGAUGGGUUACUGCCUGGGAAGUCCUAGUGUUUUACAUU